rnacentral:rRNA from 6 species
CCACACGACUCUCGGCAACGGAUAUCUCGGCUCUCGCAUCGAUGAAGAACGUAGCGAAAUGCGAUACCUGGUGUGAAUUGCAGAAUCCCGCGAACCAUCGAGUCUUUGAACGCAAGUUGCGCCCGAGGCCAUUCGGCCGAGGGCACGCCUGCCUGGGCGUCACG